rnacentral:rRNA from 1 species
UUGGAGCGGUUAGUGGCGGACUGGUGAGUAACACGUAAGCAACCUGCCUAUCAGAGAGGGACAACAGUUAGAAAUGACUGCUAAUACCACAUAUGCCUAAGUAUCACAUGAUACAAUAGGGAAAGGAGCAAUCCGCUGAUAGAUGGGCUUGCGUCUGAUUAGCUAGUUGGUGGGGUAAAGGCCUACCAAGGCGACGAUCAGUAGCCGGACUGAGAGGUUGAACGGCCACAUUGGGACUGAGAUACGGCCCAGACUCC